rnacentral:rRNA from 1 species
GAGGAAUAUUGGGCAAUGCCCGCAAGGGUGACCCAGCAACGCCGCGUGGAGGAUGAAUGUCGUAAGAUUGUAAACUCCUGUUAGAGGGGAAGAAUAGUACCGGUUGGACCGGUAUAUGACUGUACCCUCAGAGAAAGCCCCGGCUAACUACGUGCCAGCAGCCGCGGUAAUACGUAGGGGGCAAGCGUUGUCCGGAUUUACUGGGUGUAAAGGGCGCGCAGGCGGGAUAAAAAGUCAGUGGUGAAAUCCUACAGCUUAACUGUAGAACUGCCUUCUAUACUUUUAUUCUUGAGUGCGGGAGAGAGAGACAGAAUUCCGGGAGUAGUGGUGAAAUACGUAGAUAUCUGGAAGAACACCAGUUGCGAAGGCGGU